rnacentral:rRNA from 1 species
AUGUUAUCAAAUAGGGCGCUAGGCGAUGGCCGGUCCAGGGAAUACACCAGCAUGACCACGGACCAAGGAUGCGCCUGUUGCUGCAGUACACCGUCCUCCUCAAGGUCCACCUCCGCUAGCUCUACCUCGCCCUCAGAAUCUUCUCCUUCCCUGAAGUCCUCUGGCCCUUCAACCUCCCGCUCGGCGCGAUGCCGGGUCGUCGACGGCGCCGCCGUCUCGUCCGCCGUCUUCAUCUGCGUCCAGAUCGUCAACGGUUGCAUCUGCGGGUUGAUCCGCCUAGCAGCCACAGCUCCCCCAUUGGAAGGCUUCGGGCGAGCAGCGUCCACGGAGGGAGCCCUAUAUGCGCCCCCACCAACCUCCGGGAUCACUUCGGCCGCCGGCGACUUCUUGCCUUUCUCGCUCGCGGACGACGACAUCUCGGCUAACAGCGGCGGCGAUGGCUUGAGAGUUGUGCGAUCUGGUGGCUUACGCGGUUCCUGA